GACGAACGCUGGCGGCGUGCCUAAUACAUGCAAGUAGAACGCACAGUUUAUACCGUAGCUUGCUACACCAUAGACUGUGAGUUGCGAACGGGUGAGUAACGCGUAGGUAACCUGCCUGGUAGCGGGGGAUAACUAUUGGAAACGAUAGCUAAUACCGCAUAAUAUUAAUUAUUGCAUGAUAAUUAAUUGAAAGGUGCAAUUGCACCACUACCAGAUGGACCUGCGUUGUAUUAGCUAGUAGGUGAGGUAACGGCUCACCUAGGCGACGAUACAUAGCCGACCUGAGAGGGUGAUCGGCCACCCUGGGACUGAGACACGCCCCAGACUCCUACGGGAGGCAGCCGUAGGGAAUCUUCGGCAAUAGACGAAAGUCUGACCGAGCAACGCCGCGUGAGUGAAGAAGGUUUUCGGAUCGUAAAGCUCUGUUGUAAGAGAAGAACGGGUGUGAGAGUGGAAAGUUCACACUGUGACGGUAUCUUACCAGAAAGGGACGGCUAACUACGUG
rnacentral:rRNA from 1 species